rnacentral:rRNA from 1 species
UACGUAGGUGGCAAGCGUUGUCCGGAUUUACUGGGCGUAAAGAGCGCGCAGGCGGUCAGAUAAGUCGAAUGUGAAAGCCCCCGGCUCAACUGGGGAGGGUCAUUCGAUACUGUUCGACUCGAAGGCAGGAGAGGGAAGUGGAAUUCCCGGUGUAGUGGUGAAAUGCGUAGAUAUCGGGAGGAACACCAGUGGCGAAGGCGACUUCCUGGCCUGUUCUUGACGCUGAGGCGCGAAAGCUAGGGGAGCAAAUGGG